rnacentral:rRNA from 1 species
CCUACGGGUGGCAGCAGUGGGGAAUAUUGGGCAAUGGGCGCAAGCCUGACCCAGCAACGCCGCGUGAAGGAAGAAGGCUUUCGGGUUGUAAACUUCUUUUCUCAGGGACGAAGCAAGUGACGGUACCUGAGGAAUAAGCCACGGCUAACUACGUGCCAGCAGCCGCGGUACUACGUAGGUGGCAAGCGUUAUCCGGAUUUACUGGGUGUAAAGUGCGUGUAGGCGGGGACGAAAGUCAGAUGUGAAAACCACGGGCUCAACCUGUGGCCUGCAUUUGAAACUGUGUUUCUUGAGUGCGGGAGAGGUAGACGGAAUUCCUAGUGUAGCGAUGAAAUGCGUAGAUAUUAGGAGGAACACCAGUGGCGAAGGCGGUCUGCUGGCCCGCAACUGACGCUGAGGAGCGAAAGCGUGGGUAGCAAACAGGAUUAGAUACCCGAGUAGUC